rnacentral:lncRNA from 1 species
CAAUAUAUAACUUGAGUGUUUAUACAAGAUAAUCUAUAUUCGACCGACGUUAGGAGGUCCUUUAAGCGUCGUUAGGAGGUCCUUUAAGCGUCGAGUGGGACUGAAACUCAUGUCUGUCCCUGACUUUUUUGAUUUAUUUUGUCCGACUUAUUUUCAAUUUUUAAAAUUCUUUUUUUUUCCACUGCUUUUUAAUUUUCUGUGACCGUCUUUUUUUGUUUUUUUUUUAAAUCCCUGUUGUUUGUUUUUUUUUCUUUUCUCUUCCUCUCCUCCCCUAACGUCGGUCUUCACCGUUAUCACGGUUCUAUAUUACUAUGCUGCCACAAAUACAAUGGUACAGUAUCAUAAAAUAUUUACUAUCUCAACAAUAAUACGACUAUAACAAAAAGCUGACUUUCAGCCAGUACUUGUAAGAGGACCUCUGUGUCAUUCCCAUAUCAUCGCCCCAUUGGAACCCAAACUAAGAUUAGGAUGAAAGGGUGAAAAGUUGAGGAAGUCCAUCCCACUUUCUUGAACUUGUGAAGGAAGACUCAUAAACAUGGCUCAUCUUGCUGCUACCACCACCCACUACUGCUACUCUACCUGUUUUGGUAGUACUGGUCUCUUUAGGUUGUUGCACUUUGACAGUGGCUGCUAGUGGUAGUGAAGUAUUACCAUCUUUUGUAAGAGGCAAUUGAGAAGGUGGAAGCAAAUCUAUAGGAAAGAAAUAAUAGAGUUGGGUAGCCAUUGAGUAGAAUUAGCAAAAAAAGGUAUACAAGACAAAGCUUGAUUAUAUUGGCAGAAGGUAGUUAGAUCGAUGGAGUUAGUUGUACUAAGUUUUCUAUGUUUGAUUGGCAGAGGGAGGGAG